rnacentral:rRNA from 1 species
ACGCUCGACACCUACGGGAGGCCGCAGUGGGGAAUAUUGCACAAUGGGGGAAACCCUGAUGCAGCGACGCCGCGUGAGCGAAGAAGUAUUUCGGUAUGUAAAGCUCUAUCAGCAGGGAAGAAACUGACGGUACCUGACUAAGAAGCACCGGCUAAAUACGUGCCAGCAGCCGCGGUAAUCUGAGGCGGGCGUGGACGAAGGC